rnacentral:rRNA from 1 species
CUAGUGUAGAGGUGAAAUUCGUAGAUAUUAGAAAGAAUACCAAUUGCGAAGGCAGCUUUCUGGAUCAUUACUGACACUGAGGAACGAAAGCAUGGGUAGCGAAGAGGAUUAGAUACCCUCGUAGUCCAUGCCGUAAACGAUGUGUGUUAGACGUUGGAAAUUUUUUUUCAGUGUCGCAGGGAAACCGAUAAACACACCGCCUGGGGAGUACGACCGCAAGGUUAAAACUCAAAUGAAUUGACGGGGACCCGCACAAGUAGUGGAGCAUGUGGUUUAAUUCGAAGAUACGCGCAGAACCUUACCAACACUUGACAUGUUCGUCGCGACUUUAAGAGAUUAGAGUUUUCGGUUCGGCCGGACGAAACACAGGUGCUGCAUGGCUGUCGUCAGCUCGUGUCGUGAGAUGUUGGGUUAAGUCCCGCAACGAGCGCAACCCUCACUUUUAGUUGCCAUCAUUAAGUUGGGCACUCUGAAAGAACUGCCAGUGAUAAGCUGGAGGAAGGUGGGGAUGACGUCAAGUCCUCAUGGCCCUUACGUGUUGGGCUACACACGUGCUACAAUGGUAUCUACAACAGGAAGCAAAACUGCGAAGUUAAGCAAAUCCCUAAAAGAUACCUCAGUUCGGAUUGCACUCUGCAACUCGAGUGCAUGAAGCUGGAAUUACUAGUAAUCGUGGAUCAGCGUGCCACGGUGAAUGCGUUCCCGGGUCUUGUACACACCGCCCGUCACACCAUGGGAGUUGGUUCUACCUUAAGGCAAGGUUUCAAACCCUUGACCACGGUAUAGUCAGCGACUGGGGUGAAGUCGUAACAAGGUAGCCGUAGGGGAACCUGCGGCUG